CGGUCCUGCCGGUGAUUUUCUCAGAUGAGGCCUUGAGUUUUCUCUUUCGUCGGUCGAAAAGGUAUUUUAAAUUUUAGUUUAGCAGACAUUAGCUACCAUAACCACUGUUUAUCUUGUAAAGUUUAAAUUAUAUGACAAGAUUACAUUUACAAACGUUUGCUGAAGUUGUUGUCCGUCGCGGCUGACCGUUACGGCCUAUCUUCAAAUGUACGCUAAUCUUGGUCUCACGAAUCCAAAUUGUUAGAAGCCAUCGAAAAAACUGCCAUCGGACUACCACAGCUGACAACGAGAGACGCGCGUGCACAACUGCAUAACACACACACACACACACACGGAAAGAGCACAACAAUUAUGAAACUGCUCAUUUAUUAUAAAUAAAUAAAUGUAUUUUUCUCC